GCGGUGCGUCUGUGGGCGGGCGCGGUGGGCGCGCGCGUGGAGGCGGCGCCGCAGUGCUACAUCUGCUACUGCCGGCUGCACGCCGCGUCGGGCCGCCUGCCGCGCGUGCCGUGCCACCAGUGCAAGAACAAGUUCCACAACGUGUGCCUGCGCAAGUGGUUCGCCACGAGCAACAAAUCCAACUGCCCGCUAUGCAGGGCGGCGUUCUGAUGACCUGGACCCCGGCCGCCGAGCGAGACGUCGCAUUGUGUGACUACUCGUCUGUGUAUAUAUCCUUAUAUUCUUUUGCCACUUAUAAUCAAUUAAACGACGAAAAUAAAUUUGAAAUAAACCAAA